GAGUAGCUCAGUUGGCAGAGUAUAAGACUCUUAAUCUCAAAGUCGUGGGUUCAAGCCCCACGUUGGGCA